UAAAAAAAUGGUUUGGCUGUAGGUGGGCGAGCCUCUGUGCUGUGUGCCCUGAAGGAGGGAAGGUGAGGUCAUGGCGUUGCUCAGGGAGGGAGCCCUGGGCCAGCAGGGCCGUCCCCUGCUCCGGGCAGCAUUGGGCUUAUACAGAGGCUGGCAAACCUCUGACCACCUUGUCUUUGAAUCUUCUGGUCUGGUUUUCACACUAAUUUCUCUUACAUCUAGUCAACUGAGAUUUACAAACAUCAGGAUGACAUAUGCCUUUAAAAGUGGAGUCAGAAAGUCCCACUUUUAAAUCCGCAAAGAGCAAAUGCUCUUCCUGCUCCUCCCACAUGCCUUGCUUCUGGGACAAAGUGUUUGCGGUGCAAUGACAAAGCCCAAUGCCAGCCUCACCCUGAAGCUUCUGGGCAGAUGAGAAAUCCCCACGGCUCCUGGAAAGGAAAUGAGGUCACCCGCUGUGAAGCCCGCACCGCCUGGACGCCUGCGCGGUCGUGUCUGAUUCCCUCUUGGCCCUGGCUUGGUGCCGGGCUGGGCUGCCCCUGCCUGAGGCCAAGGCAGCUGCAGGUGACUCAUGUCUAAGUCUAGUUCCUGCAGAGUCUAGGCUGCAGUUGUUUCUUUAAAAAGCCUCUAGCACUGCCCUGGUCCUGCCCUGAACCAAACCUCCCUUGGCAAUCGGGGUUGCCCUCUUCCUACCAUUAUUCCUGGCACUUAGUACAAUGCCUGGCAUGUGGCAGGCACUCAUAAAGUAUUGUUAAGUGAACUGAAUAAAUGAGUGAAUGAA